UUUAAUGAGAGUUUGAUCCUGGCUCAGGACGAACGCUGGCGGCGUGCCUAAUACAUGCAAGUAGAACGCUGAAGGAGGAGCUUGCUUCUCUGGAUGAGUUGCGAACGGGUGAGUAACGCGUAGGUAACCUGCCUGGUAGCGGGGGAUAACUAUUGGAAACGAUAGCUAAUACCGCAUAAGAGUGGAUGUUGCAUGACAUUUGCUUAAAAGGUGCACUUGCAUCACUACCAGAUGGA
rnacentral:rRNA from 1 species